rnacentral:lncRNA from 1 species
AGCUCCAUAUAGGAAGAAAAAGAGUUGUUUAUGAUAUGUGACUAGAUACAUUGUUUUCUUGGAACAUUAUUUGCGUUUUUUCCCCCACAAAUUAAGUGUCAUUUCCCUCAUUUUUGAUGAACACAAUGCAUAUAUUAUAUGGAUUCCAGUAUGCAAUAUUAUAGUUUUUGCUGGCAUUCAUUCAGGGAAUGAGCAAAGCUGGAGAGCUAGAGUGUCAUUUCCCUCAUUUUUGAUGAACACAAUGCAUAUAUGGAUUCCAGUCUGCACUAUUAUAGUUUUUGCUGGCAUUCAUUCAGGGAAUGAGCAAAGCUGGAGAGCAAGAUGGGUGUAAAUGAAGAGAGCU